rnacentral:rRNA from 1 species
GUUCGUCCGCCCUGGGUUAGUCGGGACCUAAGCUGAGGCCGAAAGGCGUAGGUGAUGGACAACAGGUUGAUAUUCCUGUACUACCGAUAACCGUUUGAGAGAAGGGAUGACACAGUAGGAUAAGCUAAGCACACUGUUGGUUAUGUGUGCCCAAGCAUUGAGGCAGUCAAAGUAGGCAAAUCCGCUUUGAUAAUGCUGGGAUGUGAUGGGGAGCGAAAUUUAGUAGCGAAGUAGCUGAUUUCACACUGUCAAGAAAAGUCUCUAUCGAGGUUAAAGGUACCCGUACCGCAAACCGACACAGGUGGGUGAGGAGAGUAUCCUAAGGCCAGCGAGAGAACUGUUGUUAAGGAACUCGGCAAAAUGACCCCGUAACUUAGGGAUAAGGGGUGCCACCAUCAGGUGGCCGCAGAGAAUAGGCCCAAGCGACUGUUUACCAAAAACAUAGGUUUCUGCUAAGUCGCAAGACGAUGUAUAGGAGCUGACGCCUGCCCGGUGCUGGAAGGUUAAGGGGAUCUGUUAGAGCAAUCGAAGCAGUGAACUUAAGCCCCAGUAAACGGCGGCCGUAACUAUAACGGUCCUAAGGUAGCGAAAUUCCUUGUCGGGUAAGUUCCGACCCGCACGAAAGGCGUAACGAUUUGGGCACUGUCUCAACAACAGACUCGGUGAAAUUGUAAUUCCGGUGAAGAUGCCGGAUACCUGCGACAGGACGGAAAGACCCCAUGGAGCUUUACUGUAGCUUGACAUUGGGUCUUGGUACUACAUGUACAGGAUAGGUGGGAGGCUUUGAAACCAGGACGCCAGUUUUGGCGGAGCCAUCCUUGGGAUACCACCCUUGUAGUACUGGGACUCUAACCAUAGGCCAUGAAUCUGGUCUUGGGACACUGUCAGGUGGGCAGUUUGACUGGGGCGGUCGCCUCCCAAAAGGUAACGGAGGCGCUCAAAGGUUCUCUCAGUACGGUCGGAAAUCGUACGUAGAGUGUAAAGGCAAAAGAGAGCUUGAUUGCAAGACAUACAGGUCGAGCAAGGAUGAAAAUCGGACUUAGUGAUCCGGUGGUUCUGCGUGGAAGGGCCAUCGCUCAACGGAUAAAAGCUACCCUGGGGAUAACAGGCUUAUCUCCCCCAAGAGUCCACAUCGACGGGGAGGUUUGGCACCUCGAUGUCGGCUCAUCACAUCCUGGGGCUGUAGUAGGUCCCAAGGGUUGGGCUGUUCGCCCAUUAAAGUGGUACGCGAGCUGGGUUCAGAACGUCGUGAGACAGUUCGGUCCCUAUCCGUCGCAGGCGUAGGAAAUUUGAGAAGACCUGUCCUUAGUACGAGAGGACCGGGAUGGACG